GUCACUGGGGACAGAGGGGGCGUCAGCCACCGGGCAGAGCCAGGCUGCUCUGGGCCUGUCUCAGUGCUGUCGCCUGGCCCAGCCACAGUGCGCCCUCGCCCCCUCGGAGAAGCGGGGUGCUCGCUGGCCGACCCACCACUGGGAAGUGGAGGGCUGUUUUGGAGCCGGGCAGAGAGGCAUUCUUGUGCUCUGACCAGGCCUGUCUGGGAUACACCGAGAACCCGGGCCCCGCCCCACAGCCCCCCGCAUCUCCAUGUUGUUCCCAGGGGUUCACCUAGUCCCUCCUGGGCUCCGACCUGUCUGCGGGGUCAGGGGUGGGAUUGGGGGAUCAAGCUUUACCUUCCCGGCCUUCACCCUGAGCCACCACCUUGGGGUCCGUGUACUCAGGCCUCCGUCCCAUGAACCAGCUGAGAAGACAGGAAGCCAGGUGAGCCACAGGGCCGGGGCCCACAAACACUGAAGUGGGCGCCCUCCUGACUUCGGAAACCAGCAGCCUCCCCGCCACUAGGGGCAGGCCCUGGGCAGACACGCCCCACAUCCCUCGGCCACCUCAGGGGCAUCAGAGCUGGCUUGACUGGCCCUGACCAACACUGAGCCACAGCACCCCGCACUACCCCGCUGGGUGGGCCGCCUGCCCUGGGGGUCACAGGCCUCCCGUGUGGAAGGCGCGAGGUUCCUGCUUCCUGGAGAGGCCGUCCUCAGCCUCCUGGACAGCCGCUGGCCUGCAGGGGGCGGGGUCUGCCCAGCCCAGCCCCCCUGGCGUCCACCCGGUCCAGGCGCCAGCGCCCACUGGCUGCCAGCUCCACCGCUGGUGGCGGAGCGGCCGCCCGGUCUGCCCACAGGCUGCGUGGAAGCCCAGUGGGGGGCGCAGGGGCUCCCAGCCCCAAGGAAGGGGACGGGGGAGGCGGAGCCCAGGCUCCAGCUGGGGCUGACGGGUGAGUCACCGCUCUGUGCCUCGGUUUCUCCAUCUGAGGAGUGGGGCUGUAACAGCACCCACCUCAGAGGCAGGGAAGCAGCCCCACGAGCCUGGCACGACCCAUGUGGGAACGCAGAGCGAGUGCCACAGCUCCUCUGAGGACGGUGAGGGCGCUGUGGGCCGGGCGCAAAGCCGGGAAGGGCCGAGCUGGCUGGAGGGCCACGCAGGGGCCAGAGGAAGUGAGCGCUGACCGCAGGCGUGCCUCCGCAGGCUCUAAAGCUUCAGGAAACCCUUCCUUGGUGCUGCGUGAAGCGCAGGUCGGAGGUAGUCGCAGGCUGAAUCAUGGCCCAAGACACAGGUCCUGGUCCCUGGCCCCUGGGAAUGCGGCCUCGUCUGGAAGGACCCUUGCGCAGGUGACUGGGGGAGCUGAGCACGGGCACACUUUGGCCUCCCCUGUGGCCUUCGAUGCCACAGAAAUGUCCUCGUGAGAGGCAGAGACUGGAGUGGCGUGGCCACGAGCCAGGGCAGGCCACAGCCCAGCAGCUGGGGGGGCGGGGGGGCUCCCCGAGCCUGGACGGUGCGCAGCCCGCCGACACCUCACAGCCCAGCAGGGAUGCUGGCAUUUCGGGUUCAGAACUGGAGGAAGUAAACCUGCGGUGUUAAGCCAGCAAGGUGGCGGUAGUUUGUCCGCAGUGGCCACGGCCACGGCCACGGGAGAGUAACACUGGGCAGAAGAGAAUGCAAACAGCAGGCCAGCGAAGCUGCGGAGGGACAGCGGAGGCCGCGGGAGAGCCAGGCGCUGGAGAAACUGGGGCAGGCGGAGAGGGGACUGGCCACCCCGGGUCUCGGGCCUGAGCAAAGGGGGCUGCUGGAGCUGGGCCCUUGGUGGCCUCCCUGGACCCCUUGUCUGCCUUCACCCCUUAGACCUCUCCCCCGCGGCCUCGCCCAGGCCUGAGCUCCUGCACCGAGGCAUCGGGAGGCAAGAGCCUCGACUGUUCUGUGAGCUGAGGCCUGGCCUUCCCAGGGAGCCUCACGAGGAAGCCCGGGCCCCUCGGAGCUGGGAGCUGGGGUGCAGCAGUGCACCCCCGGGCAGGACGGCUGUGGCUCUCACAGCCCUUGACCUUCCUGUGCCCGCUGACAGGCACUGCCCCGCUUCCCCAACAGCCCAGGGGACGGUGCUGUUGCGCCUCCACCCAUCAUGGCGGCCUCCCUGAGGGGCCUCUAGGGGCAUGAGGCACCCGCACUCUCCCUUCCCCAGGCCUCAGAACUUAGUGAGGACUUCUCAGUCCUGGCCCAAUGCUGUCCCUCCGCCCCGGUCUCCCCGGCCCAGCCCCCAGGGCAGUGUGCCAGCUGCCGCCCUCCACCCGAUCUCCCGGCCCAGCCCACAGGGCAGUGUGCCAGCUGCUGCCCUCCGCCCGGUCUCCCGGCCCAGCCCACAGGGCAGUGUGCCAGCUGCCGCCCUCCGCCCGGUCUCCCGGCCCAGCCCACCGGGCAGUGUGCCAGCUGCCGCCCUCCGCCCGAUCUCCCGGCCCAGCCCACCGGGCAGUGUGCCAGCUGCCGCCCUAGAGCCCAGCUGGUCCUGCACUUCCCCUUGUCCUGCUGGUGAACAGAGGGCCCGGCCUGCUGACCUGCUGGGGAGCAGCGGUGGUUUAUAGCUGAGCUGAUAGAGAGGCUGCUGUCCCACCCACUGGCCAGUCAGCCAGGGGCUAGCUGGCCCCCACUCCCACUUGGAGGUGGUGAGGGCCAAGGCCUGAGGCUCAGCCUCCCUGACGCCCACCACCAGCACUCCCUGCAGGCACUCACCUUGUGAGCUUUUGCAGCUUGGAUGUAGAUUCUGGGACGAACAUGGGGAUGGUCCUUUUGUGCCUGAAACAGAAGUUUUGACACAUGUGCUGAGGGACAGAGAAGCAACGCCAAUGCCGGAGCCUCCAGCCAGCGGCCAGCGGCCAGCGGCGGGCAGCCGGGCAGCGCACGGACGCGGCGUGCCUGCUGUGGCACGAAGCCAGCCUUGCAGAGCUGUACCUCAUGAGCCUUUUGUUCUUUGAAGGAGCCAGAAGGAUGCUGAGGCUACAAACCUCAAACCGGUGCCCAUGUGCCCCUUAGAGCCCUGUCCUCCAAAUGUCCACAUGCUCUGCCAUCUUCAGGGCCCAGCGCGGUGCCCUUCCUCCAGGAAGCCCUGACCAACCCUGGACCUCGGCCCCGCCCUGGUGGCCUGCCCCAGGCCCGUCUCACCCUCAGAGCCCGGGGCCUGUCCCCCCCUCUCUCCUGGCCUCCGAGUCUGGCCCUUGUUUUAACAGAACUCAGAGCAGCGCACCCGGCGCCUCCUCUCAGCCUUCUCCAAGCAGCUGACCUCAGCCUGCUCUGUGCACCAGCCCAGUCCACACCCUCCCAGCAGUGCCUGGCAGGGCUGCGCCUCUCCAUGGCCAUGGCUCUAGGGGCUCCUGAGGGCAGAGCCCACGUGGCCACACGUGUCUGACACUUCCGUGUCCUCUGCUGCAGAGCACUGGGGGCGGGAGAGAUGAAGGGCUGCGUGCACUCCAGACCCUACCUGCCCAGGCCCCUCGGAGUGGGCGCAGCCCUCAGGAUGCCAGCACUCCCUCCACCCCGCGGUGUUCGGGCAGCAUGAACCUCGCCCACUUAGGUCCCUUCCAGAUAUGGGCUCUGCCCCCCCCACCCAACCUGAGCUGCCCAGAACCCGGGGCAACAGCACAUUCCUGGCCAAGAGGUGAAGUCUGUCCCAGGAAGAGCCCUGCUGAUGAUGCCAGUUCCUGAGCCAGAGCGGCCCAGUGAGGGACGGGCUGUGCCGGAGGGCCUACCUGCCAGGCGAGAAAGGCACGUGCACUGCCCCGUAGCCUCGGACCACGUCGUUCCCGAACACGUCUGGUCCGUACACGCUGAGCACAAUCUGUGGCCCUGGGAGGACAAGGCAGGUCAGCGUGUGGGAGCCGUGGGGGAGGUGCAGGCAGAGGGGAGGAGGGUGCUCAAGCCCAGGGCAGAGGCCUGGCAGCAGGUGCAGACCUGGCACCCCUGCAGCACCAACAGUUCCUGCAGUCCAGGUCCAGGUCCAGGUGAGGAGGACCAGAACCUGCAGGGCAGGCCCCUGGCUUGGCCAACGCCAGAGUCAGAGCCAGGGUGCUGCCCUCCGCCUGUCAUCAGACACAUGGAAGUGGCUCUGGAGCCCUUUAGGGACGGGCCAGGCGGCUGGUUUCUGUCAGGGGGAGACGUCAGAGAGAAAGCAAAGGCCUUCCUGCACCUCCUAUACACACUAGGAAUUACACCCAGGCUGGUGGGGCUCAGUACCAAAAGGCUGCUGGUUCGAUGCCCAGGUGGCGGGCUGGAACCCUGGUAGGGGCAUGCAACAUGCAGCUGAUGGAUGUUCACUCUCACAUCAAUGUUUCUCUCUCUUCCUCUUUCUAAAAAUCAAUACAAAAUAUUAGCAAUUACACCUGUUCUGUUUACAUCAAGGCAUCUCGCCGUGGCCCCGAUGAUGGCAGCGGGGCUGACGCAGUGGGGGCUGACCUGGCGGCCGCUAGCACUAGUCGCAGGCAACUCCCGCCUCGGUGCUCCACCUCCUCGAGGCCUGGAGGGGGCCUGAGGCCGUGUCAGCCAGGGUGGGGCCUGUGUCUGCCCGUCACUAGCUCCAAAGGCCGCCACCGCCCAGCACUUCAUGAAGCCACUUCUUUGCCAAAGAUGCAUCCCGCAGGCGGGCACUUUGGUCGUCCCCUUCUCUGAACUUCCUGACUGGCUUUCUCGCGGGUUUGGAACAGGUGUGAAUUCUGCGCUCUCCUCACUUUCUUCUGACCAGAAGCUGCGGAUGCCCGUCCCGAGGCCCCCGUCCCGCGGCCUGGCGCCAGCGCCCGUGCUGUCCUCCUGAAGGAAGCUGGCUCUUCCCAUCGGCAUCUGCAGACCCACGGGCAUCGGUCUGUGUGUGUAACACAAAGUAGGGGUCUGCUUCCUCUGCCACCCCGUGCACAUCCGCUCGUCCCAGCACCGCUUACCAAAGACUCUCACUCACUCACACACACACACACUCAACACACACACACACUCAACACACACACACACUCACACUCAACACACACUCACACGCACUCACACACACUCAACACACACACACUCAACACUCACACACACACACUCACACACACACACAUAUGCACACACAAAAGACUCUCCCUGCAGCUGGGCAGCGCCAGUCGGUCAGCUGCCUGCAGGCGCCGGUGCGGGCCGGCUCUGUGCUUGUCUGUCUGUCCUGUGCCAACGAUGCUGCCGCAGUCACCGUGCUUUGCAAUCAAAGCUUCACAUCCGGGACAAGUUAUAUCUUGAUAUUUUACGUGUCUCACUUUUAAACUAUCAUUUUCUAUUUACUUCUUAUACAGAACAGAAUAUUUAUGUAUUCUAUUUAUUCUUACACAAAAAGCAACUGAUUCUUUAUUAAUCCUAUCAACAGCUUGCAUGCCAGUGUAUCGCCUGAUAAUUUAUUUGUAGGUUACUUUGGACAUUCUACAUAAUCACGUCACCCGUAGAUAAUUUUGUUCUUCCUCCCCGAUUCUUACGCCCUUUAUGAGCACAGUGUUGGUGAUAACAAGCACCCUGACCUCAGGGCGAUCCUCCGACAGUUCACGAGCAGUGAUGUUCCUCUAAGUUUUCAUAGACAGCCUUUAUUGGAGUAAGGAAGCUUCGCUCUAUUCCUACUUUGCUAAAUAUUUAUCAAGAAUGGAUGUUGGGGAAAAAAAAAAAAAAAAA